AUGCAGAUCCUUUCUGCAGAAGAGACUUCCGGGUUCAGAGGCUGUUUGUACCCGGCAAAAGUGACCUUCUCUUUUAGUUUUUGCUUUAGGGUAGAUGUGCUCACCAAAGAGACAAGGGGAAGAUGGAGAGGGAGGGAUGAAAUCACUGGGCGGGAUGGCCAUGUCACAAUCCCUUAUUCUCUAGGGAUUUGGGGCCCACAUGCCCUAAGUGACUUUCAAGUCACCGGCUUCGGGGCUAGAGCAGCAGAAUCGGUCACAGCCAGCCACGGAUGCAAUGAGCUUCUCUUCUCCCAUAUAUGUUCCGUGGCCACUGAAGUAAAAGGAAGAUGAGAAAACGGGCCUUGCAGAGAGAAUUUGGCUAAUGAUAUGUGACUGGAGCCCACGUGUGACCAAAGCCCUGCCUUCCUAACCAGGACACACUGCACUGCCUCACGUUCAGAGUGGGCGUCACCGGGGGAGGAGCCAGCCCCAUGCAGUACAGGUAAAGCAGCAACUGUGUCUGUCUGCCCUACGCCACUUACUGAAGCCAAAACCCGGCCCCUAGCUCGGAGACGUCGCAGAGGGAGGAGAAGUCAGAAAUGCCACCGUCCCUUCAGGCAGCGAGAGGAGAUCUUGCUCCUAACCCUCCCCAGGGAUCCGACGAGAAGGGCGCAAAGACCUGAGCUUCAGGCAGAGGGCCCCGAAGUCACGGCCACCAGACGUCAGGAGAGUGAGGCUCAGGGGACACACAAGACGCGGGAAGUAAGAAGGACGAGGUCACUAGGAGCUCUGGGGCUGGGACCAGGUGGACAAGAGCCCGGUUUUGGUCCCGCAGGCCACGUGGAGAGCCCUGAAGCCAGUCCCUGCGCCCCCGGGUGGCUCAGGUUC